UCCGGUUUGUCACCGGCAGUCCCAUUAGAGUGUCCAAAGAGUUCUUCAUUUCUGAAGCGUUCUCGUAUAUGUCAAGCCUUGGUAAGGUUCUUCGCGUUGCAUCGAAUUAAUCCGCAUGCUCCGCCGCUUGUGCGGGCCCCCGUCAAUUCCUUUGAGUUUUAGCCUUGCGGCCGUACUCCCCAGGCGGGGAACUUAAUGCGUUAGCUGCGACACGGAAGCCGUGGAAUGGCCCCCACAUCUAGUUCCCAACGUUUACGGCGUGGACUAC
rnacentral:misc_RNA from 1 species